rnacentral:lncRNA from 1 species
CCGCACCCCCGCCCGCACCCCGACCACUCCUUCCUUCUCGCCUCCUUCCCUCCCUCGCUGCCCUGCGCCUCCCUUUCCCGAUUCUGCCUCCCAGCCUUCCUCCGUCUCGCGCGCUCCUUGCAGGUCCGCGUCCAUACCGUCCAGCCCCAGCCCAGCCCGCAGGUGGGGGACAGUCGCGGCCGCUGUCCAGGUCCGGUCUCCGACGCUCGAGGACAGAAGCAGCCACGGGCAGGAGCAGAACCAGCCCCCGGGGAGCCUCCUGGACCCUCCCACGCGGCAGGUUCCGCCGAACCCGGUACUCGCAGCUGCCAACUUCUCCGAGCCUUCUUCCUCCUCCCCUUUUCCGAGAUCCCAGCCGGGUUCGUGUUUCGCAAGGUGCAUUUUGAAAGGAGAACGAAAAUAUGUCUCUCCUGUAUCAAAAUGCAGCCGUAGAGACCCGGAAGGUUCCGCGGCAGUGUCUGAUGUGUGCACCUUUGAAUGUCAGAGGGAAGAACCAAGCUUUGUUAUUUUCAGGCUUAGGGAAAAUCUGAAGAUGUUCGAGAGAUGAAUUGUUAACACAAGAACUCAAUACUGAGGCAGGUAUACAGAAUGAGGAAGCAUCUCCCCCCUUCAAACCUUGGAAUCUACCGGUGGUCAUCAAAGUUCUCUGAAGAUGGUAGCAGGUAGAGUGGAAAGAGCUUGGGCUUUGAGGCAAUAAAGAGCUAGAUUUUCAAUUCUGGCACCACUACCUACUUAGCUGUGUGGUCUUGGGUAAGUUACUUAAACUUUCUUGUGCCUUAGUUCCCUGUGCUGAAAAUGAGGUUAAUAAUACCCACCUUAUGCACAGUAGAGAAAAUAUAAACAGCAAUGUUGUAUUAUAAUCAUCAAAAUUGCUAAGAGUCUGGAACUUAAUUAUUCCAACUACUAAAAAGAAAGGAUAAUUAUGUAAGAUGAUAGAGGCGCUAAUUAUCACUACAAUGGCAACCAUAUUACAAUAUGUAAGUGGCUCAAAUUAACAUGUACACCUUAAAUCUACACAAUGUUAUAUGUCAAAUAUAGUUCAAUAAAAAUAAUAAUAAAAAAACAUACCCACCUCAUAGGUUUGUCAAAUAGAUUGUCAGGUUCUUUCUACCUCAGCACUAUUGACAUUUGGGACUGGGUAAUUCUUUGAUGAGGGGUGGCUGCCCUAUGCACUGUAGGAUGUUUAGCAGCAUCUCUAGCUCCUACCCACUGGAUGCCAGUAGAACUACCUUUCCCCCCCAAGUUGUGACAACCAAAACUGUCUCCAAAGAUUGCCAAAUACACUUGGAGGGGCAAAAUUGCUCCUGCUUGAGAAUCACUGGAUGAAAUUAGUUAAAUGUGAUGCAUAUAACAGACAUAAAAGGCUUAGAACCUAGUAGGCACUCAAUAAAUUAUAGAAAUUAUAGUUACAUAUGACUGGUGAUAAAUCAGUGUAGCAUUGCAAAAUGGAAUGCUAUUGAAAACUAAACUCCCUAAAGACUGUCAGAAUUCUCAGGAACAUUGGAUUCCGUCAUUCCUUCUGAAGUUAUUUGCUUGUAUUUGGACUGGAUGAAAAGGAGGAAAUUCAGGGGUUCUUCCAAUUAUAAGAUAAUUUUGAUUUGGAGGCAGAGCUAGAUUUUUGUGUAGUGGAAACGUCCUUACUCUUUUUGCAUUGAAAUAACAUUUGAAAGCUGUUUUUCAGUUCCUCUCACUUUCAGAUCAUCACCAGUGGUACAGUCUUAACAACUGUGUCCAGAUGGGAUGUGGCUCCCUGAUGGGUCUUCUGUAACUUAAAGUCCAACAGGUUGUGUUAUUCUCAUGGUCUGAUAUCUGAUAGAAGUCAAGAUACAAGUUCACCGGGAAAGAAAAACCAUCCUCCCUCCACCCCAAUCCUGGAAGAGUUUUCCACUCAAAGGUUUGUAGAAUUAUCACUGAGUGACAUCAUGAACAGUAUUUUCAGCUAUAAUUUUUUCAGAAACAUUUAUUUUAUGGCCAUUUCUUAUGCCAAUCCAUGAUUAAAGCCAAGGACGCAGCAUGAGGUCAGCUACUCAAGGAAGGCUGUUCAGCCUGGGAAAGCAGAAUUUGAGAAUUCCCAGGUUCAGUUUCUUUUCCAAUUUUCUUUGACUUACCUUGUAUAGACAGAGUCUGUGAGAUCUUGUUGUUUCAGGAUACUAUGCUGGCCAUUUAUUGAUCUUCAAGCUCAAUGUGAUUGGUGAAACUAUCGUAAUUAAUCCAUGUGGUCAAAAGGACAACCAAUUCCUGGUUCAGUGACUAGGGCUCAUUGGCCUCCACAGCCUGGAUCCCUGUGUCUCCCAGAGUAACUGGAACUUCCUCACUUCAAAGACUGUUGAGAAGCAAUACUGAUGAAAUGAUGGCAAAACACUCUGGAACUCUUAUUUGCAUGUGCAAAAAUUACGUUUAAAGACGACCUGCAUGCCAUCAACACUGCCCGGGAACAAAAACCUUGACCCUUCCCGCACCUGCCUAGUGCUUGGCACUGUGGGAACCCAGCAAGUGACAGCUCCCUGGAGGAGAGCCAGGCGGGGGAGAGCACCCAGUCCCACGCUGCAGGC